rnacentral:rRNA from 1 species
UACGUAGGCAGCAAGCGUUGUUCGGAGUUACUGGGCGUAAAGGGUGCGUAGGCGGUUUCGCAAGUUCAGUGUGAAAUCUCCCGGCUUAACUGGGAGGGUGCGCCGAAAACUGCGAGGCUGGAGUGUGGGAGAGGUAAGCGGAAUUCCUGGUGUAGCGGUGAAAUGCGUAGAUAUCAGGAGGAACACCGGCGGUGUAGACGGCUUACUGGACCAUGACUGACGCUGAUGCACGAAAGCGUGGGGAGCAAACAGG